AUUGAACGCUGGCGGAAUGCUUUACACAUGCAAGUCGAACGGCAGCACGGACUUCGGUCUGGUGGCGAGUGGCGAACGGGUGAGUAAUAUAUCGGAACGUAUCCAAUAAUGGGGGAUAACUAAUCGAAAGGUUGGCUAAUACCGCAUACGUCCUACGGGAGAAAGCUAGGGACCUUCGGGCCUGGCGUUAAUGGAGCGGCCGAUACCGGAUUAGCGAGUUGGUGGGGUAAAGGCUCACCAAGGCGACGAUCCGUAGCUGGUCUGAGAGGACGACCAGCCACACUGGAACUGAGACACGGUCCAGACUCCUACGGGAGGCAGCAGUGGGGAAUUUUGGACAAUGGGUGCAAGCCUGAUCCAGCCAUUCCGCGUGAGUGAAGAAGGCCUUCGGGUUGUAAAGCUCUUUCGCAAGGGAAGAAAACUUAGCCACUAACAUUGGCUGAGGUUGACGGUACCUUGAUAAGAAGCACCGGCUAACUACGUGCCAGCAGCCGCGGUAAAAC
rnacentral:rRNA from 1 species